AUCUGCCAGGUAAGUAUGUACAAAACUUUAUUGUAUCUUAACAAUAUCAUAUUUGUGAAUAUUCUCAGUGAAAAAUACAGCUAAUAGGCAAAUUUUCUGCAAAUAAUGGGUAUACAGGGAGUCCCCGGGUUACGACGGGGUUCCGUUCUUGAGACGCGUUUUAGCCCGAAAAUCGUUGUAAGCCAGAACAUUGUCAAAAAUCCUAAGAAAACCUUACUUUUAAUGCUUUGGGUGCAUUAAAAAUUGUGUAAACUGCAUUCUUAUUGCAUUUUUCAUUAAAUAAAAACUCAUCAAAUAAUUGAUUAUUUUGUAUUUUUGGAGUCAUAUUUCUUCUGCCAGAUGAGUGUUGUGGGAGCGUAACCCUGGAACAUGUGUCGUAAACCUGGAAAUAAUUUCUGAUAAAUAUAAUUGAAAAAUGUUGUAACCUCGGAACGUCGUAAGCCGGGGACUGCCAGUAUAUGGUCCAUAGAAAAAUCCACGAAUAGGCGAGUACAUGGAUCGUGAGUCCGCAAAUAGUGGGGGUCAACUGUAUACCAUAUAUGGAACAUAGCAUUAUAUUAAUUUCUUUACUUUCAGAGAAUAUGCCUUACAAAGAGUAAGAGAUGGCUUUAGAGAAGGAAAAUUGCUUAUUGGUGAGGAACAACAGAGGCAACUUCAGAGAGCAAGGGAAUCUUUAGAGAUAAUAAAAAGACAAGUUGUGAUUGGUAAUUUAUAUGCACAUCCAGAAUUAGUUAUUGAGAAAUAAUGGUAUAGUAUACUUUUGUGUGAUGUGAAUGUUUACAUUUUCCACUUUAUACUAUUUGGGGAAAUGUCUGGAUUGGCCAGUACAAGUAAAAAAUUUCAAUUUUAAAACUUUCCAAGGAAGAUGUUUAGACACUGACAUUUCCAUUUAAAAUACAUAAGAUUGAUCAUGUAAGCAGAUAACAAAUAUAUACAUAAUGUGAAUACUCCAGUUUUGAAGAUCUGAAAUGAAACUGAUUCAAUUUAUAGACAAAAUUAUUGGAAUGCUUUCCAGCCAUGACCAGAUUUAAUGUACAUAUUUCAUGUUUGUUUGUGUUAAAAGAUGUGACAUAUUGUCUAAGACUCUAUACCUACCUAAAAGCCUGCACCUUUAUAGUGCUCCAGUUAUUUACACUUCAGGUAUAUUUUUCAUAACUUUUGAAGUAACAAUGAGAAAAACUGAGUAAAGCAAGUUGCAUAUAACCUGUAUCAUUUUAUACCUUCCAUGGAAAUGAAGUGAAGGUUUAGUAAAGCAUGAAAAUAAAUGUACAGCAAUUGUACAGUCAUCUUUCCUUUCCCAGAAAUUAGCCUUAAUUGCAGCCUCUUAAGUUCACAUUAACUCCUUAGCCUAAAAAUAUCCAGUGAAUGCAUGAGCUGUUAUCCUUAAAGUAACAAUAGGAUUUUUAUAUAAUUUUUUUGUAUGGACCAUUUAGUUUUCAUAAUUUACUGGCAAUGUUAUUAAAGAAAUUGUAAAUGACGAAAACCUGGAGCAAGUGAUAGUUUUUACAGUAUAGUAGUUUUAUUUAUUCAAAUUCAUUUAUUUCAAAUGUGAUCACCAGGUUGACUGCUCUCACUAGUUCAAGUUUGAUACAGUACUUUUGAACACUAGAUUCACAUGUUUUGGAUUGUAAUUCCUAGCAGUGUUGAAUACAAAGGUAAUUGAUAAGUAAGAAAUAGUAUUUGGAAUGCAAACAUAACCCCACUUAUAAAACCAGAUAUGGAGUUAUAGCCCAAGUGUUAUGUUGCUACACGUUGCUACCUUUUCCAAACAUUUCUUCCCCCCCUUUUGUUGAGGAAGUUUGUAAUUAUUUUUCAAAAUUCUAAUGAAUGUAUACAUUUUAUAUUUUCUUUUUCAACUUUUGAUUUUACAUGAGGUACAUGGUAGAAAGUAAGCAAGCUUUAAUAUGAAACUAUGCCUCCAUUCCUAUAGUCAAAUUUUUUUUCGAAAAUUUAGAUCCAAAUAUACUGUAUACUAUGGCCAUUGCACCUACUACUGCUGUUUCAUAUUUGUACAUAUGUAUGUGCAAGGGCAUUUGUGGGUAUUUGAAUUUUGUUACCGAUUAUGAUAUAGUGUUGAACAUCAUGCAAGGAUUGAGGUUAUUGUAACCUGCUAAAAUAAAGUUUUUAAUUAAAUAUCA